CCUUCCCCUGGUCCCCACGCCCGCGCGAGCGCUACCUCUCUCGCCGCCUGCGCCGCCGCCUUCUCCCCCCAAGCUUCGGCUCCAGCAAGAUAGCCCGGCCGAUUCUCGCAGCCCCCCAAAAGCCGGCACGCCGACGGCCUUCGUCCUCUAGCGCCGGCGCGUCGCCGCGAUCCCCGCCGGCACGGGCGCCUAUUCCCCCCUUGCUCCUGCUCCCCGCUCGCGCCGCCGUUGCCGCGCGUCUCCAUGAACUUCUCCGACGACUGGCGCUUCCUCUUCCCCGUCUCCUCCGUGUUCAACCCGCCGUCCCUCGCCCCGCCGGACGCCUCCCACGGGCCCCUCUUCUUCACCCCUCUCCCGCCGCCCGUCCCGCUCCUCUCCCUCCCCUUCCCCUUCCCUCCGCCCCUGCACGCCUCCACCACCGGCGACCUCCGCCACGCCCUCCGCUACUUCAUCGCCUCCACCUCCUUCCUCCCCUACUCCGAUCUCAAGUCCCUCUCGGGACCCCUCCUCGCCGCGCCGUCGCCGCCGUUCCCACCACCUUCCAAUCUUCUCGCCGUCCUCCCCUCCCGCUCCUCAAGCUCUCUCGUCCUCUUUUUCCCGUACGGCGAGAAUGCGGAGAAGAUUGCUUUCGCUCUUGUGAACUCCCCCGUUGCGAGCUCUGCGCCCGUUUCGCCCUUCGUUCAGAGGGAUGGGUUCAAGCACCCUGGGCACCGCAUACAGCAGCUUGCUGCUAUUCCUGCCCAGUCGUCCUGGUCAUCGGAGCCGGAUGACAGCUGUGUCGAGGGUUUCCUGCUUGCUGCGACAUUGUACACAGUGAGUUGGUUCAGGGUCGAGUCACGCGAUUCGGGUUCCCCGGUGCUUGUACCGGUGGCCAAGCAGGGGUUUGAUGCUGCUGUCGUGCACGCGUGCUGGAGCAGGCAUUUUCCGUCACAAUGUGCGGUGCUGCUGGAGAGUGGGGAGUUGUGUUGGUUUGAUCUGAAUACACGACUUGGAGGAAAGACGAGCGUUGGUUUUGGCAGCAAUGGUGAAGACUGGGGGGGUUGGCUGAGCUGUGCGUAUGGAGCGCAACCGUGGAUGGUGAUCGUCGCAAGCACAAAAGCCGUCCUUUUGGUUGAUUUGAGCUUUGCAUAUCAUGGUGACAAAUACGCCGUGGAAAACGAGCCACACAAGUUUCAGUACAAGGUUCUAGCAAAAAUUGGGUUGCCAGGGUUGUUUGAAACUGAGCCUUUUGACAGGACUGAGCAUUAUAUUGCAUUCUGCAAGGCUGGGUUCGAUGAUUCCCAUAUAUCAGUAGUGACAGAGCGUCACUUGAUUCUCCUUGAUGUGACAAAGCCGUUGGAACCUGUGUUGGCUUGGCAGCAUGGGCUUGAGAACCCAAAUCAUGUUGCCAUGUUUCGGCUAUCUGAAUUGAGACCUUCCAAGGAAUAUGAUUGGGCUUCAAAUUCAGGUUUUGCCAUUUUGGUUGGUUCGUUCUGGAAUGGGGAGUUCAGUUUGUUCUGUUACGGGCCUAAGGAGCAAGGUUGUCUAGAUAAUUCUCAUUUAUACGCUUGGGAUAUUCCUUCGAGGCUUUCUCUGACAGGUCAGCAUUGUGGCUGCAGCAAUGGAAUCAUGAAAGAGAUAUUCUCAACGCCUAUUUCAGUAUAUGAUGGGUAUGCUUCCCAACACCGCGCUAAGUCCAUUGUUGGCUACUAUGUGCUUCCAGAUGACCUCUCAAUAUCGGAGCCAACAUCUGCCAGCUUUGCCUUGAUCCGGCUAACAGCACUGGGGAAGUUGGAAAUGCAACAGUAUCGUGCAUCUCGAGGUCUGCAUGAUGAAAUUGACACCCCAUGUGAUGAAUCAGAACAUGCAUCCAUGGAUAGUAGUUCAUCCAUUUUGAUUGACACUCAAGGUGAAAAUGUCUCCACCAAAUAUCGAUUCUUGAAGUUGCAUUUCCUAUAUGAACAUCUGAAGGGCAAUCUAUGCAGUGCGUUGGCGAAGCAUGGUACUAGUGUUAACGGAGACAGAGAUCAAAUUAUUAUUAGUGAAGAUGUGUUGGCAUUUGCAGAGGAUAACUCUAGAUCCAGCUCGUUGCCAGUUUCAGAUUUCCUAUGUAAUGCUAGCAUCCCCAUGAAUGUUUUCGAAAUUGCAUGUCAGAGCAUAUUGAACAGUCUACCUUCAAAUAUUCUUCAUGUCUCCCUUUCUAAAUACAAGGACAUGCUAAAAUGCGAUACAAAAGAAGGCUUAGUAGAAUAUUUAAAAGUUCCUAGCUGUUCGCCACACAAUGAACUUCGGCCUUUCCUGUUAGCGAAACCAUCAAGCACAUGUGAGAAGGUGACUAGCAAAGCGGUAUCUCAAAAUGCUCUUGUUGGGCCAGUGCUCCCUGUGCAUGUCCUACUUGCAAUGGAAGAGAUGAACAGGGGCAUAGACAGCUCUUCGGAAAGAGAAACUGCAGAAACUGACUUAGUACGCCAUCGAUGUAGUGAGGUGCUUGAAGCCUUUGUUCCUGAAGUAUCCAUUGCUGAGUCCGACAACUUUGAUGGAUGGUUCUCCUCACAAAAGUUGAAUGACAAGAAGUCAUAUCUUGUUUAUGAGCCUCGGAUUGAAAAUAAGUUUACUCUUGAUGAAACUGUUAUAAAGAAGGAAAACGAAGAGCAAAAUGCCGCUGAUCGUACAUCUUUUGAAACGUCUGCAGCACCAUACAAGGAUGAGAACUUCAUGACAUUUGUCUGUGGAAAAGCUGGAACUCUUGAUUCUGGGCCUGAACAAACCACAUCUGAUUUGUUUGAUUUCACCCCAGUGAGGAUGGAUUUUGCUUCCGCAGAUCUAGACAUUCAACCUGCCGAGGAAGAAGUGUACAGAUGCUUGAAGAAACAAUUUUUAAGAUGGCAAAAUAAUUUCAAGCCAUACCAAGAUUUUUGUAACUCAUAUAAAAUACAAAAGCCAUCAUAAUGGCCUGCAGUGCUCCAUUCAGUUGUAGCAGGUACUUGGCCUGUUAUAGACAUACAGUGCUGUUUGCGUAUUGCAAACACUUCUUGGGAGUAAGAUGCAGUGGGCGGCGCUGUAAAUUAUGAAGGGCACCUAUUAUAUUGACAGGAUUUGCCACCUGGAGGUGCAUUUAACGGGAAUUUCACGCACUUGAUGUUAAGCAUUGGUGCGCCAUUUAUAGACCGUGGUAGCAAGGCAGCAAGAGUCCAAGCCAUAUUGGGGCAUUACAUAGGCGACAAGGAGGGAGUGUGAUUGCAUCAAAAGUUCAACAUUUUGCUGAGUGACAACUACGAGCAUUAGCGCGGGCGUUCUUUUCUUUUCUUCUUCUUUGUUGAGAGAAAUCGUGUGGCAGUUGUAACCUAACCAGAUACGUGCACUCAUAAAAAAAACUGUCUCACACGAGUUUUUCUUCAUUUCAGUUGAGCCAAAACCUGCCAUUUGGGCAAAGUUUUUUGGCUGAAAUCUUAGUUUGCUAUGGGCUGCAACGAUAGUGGCGUGUUUGCCUGUUGAACUGUGCAGUGAAGUGUACAUAUUUUCUCUUGAGCAGGGACCAUUGUAUGUCAUGAUUCUGAAGCUUCAUGCUGAUGGAUGAAAGCAAAUCCAGUCACACGAUGGCCUCGUGAUUAAUGGUAUUUAUGUUGUACUUUCGCAUUGGGAAUGCAUGUUUGAGACUGUACUGCAUCAUGCAGACGGUCAUUGUACAGAAUACAGUUAGAACACUCAAAUUUUGUUCUCUCUGCACUGUAAAACAACAGUUAACAAGUAGAAAAUCCUUUUUGUUUA